UGAACGGAAAAAGGGGGGUCAUUCAACCGUUCGGUUCUUGAAGAACCGUCCGGUUCGCCGGUUUACCGGUCCAACCGUCGGUUCAGACGGAGGGAACGAACCGGGAAGGCCACCGGUCGACGGUGGUCCGGUUUUUAAAACGUUGAGAAACAGCAAUGGCCACCCACCACAUUAUCAAACGCAUUCUUCUUCAUCCUCCCUCAACAUCCGUCCGAUUCAAAACCACCUCAGUCCAAUAUGUAGCCUCCAGAGCCAGAGAUCCCACAUUCGAGAAGCUCAUGGACAACUACAAAAACCUACUCAAAGUCGUCGCUAUUCAAGACCUCAUCCUUGCAAACCCUAAAAACCCCACCGUCUCCCUCCAAUUCCUCUCCAAUCUCUCCCAAAAACUCCACCUCAACCGCGGUGCCGCCUCCUUCCUCCGCAAAUACCCCCAUAUUUUUCACGUUUUCUAUGACCCAUCCAAGUCCCUGCCCUUCUGCAAAUUGACUGACGCCGCAGUCGAAAUUUCCCGCCUAGAAGCGGCUGCAAUACGCGGUUCGAUGCCCAUUGUGGUGGACCGGUUGGUUCGGCUGCUGUCCAUGUCUACGGUGGCGAAAUCGUUGCCGCUUCGAGCGAUUUUCAAGGUUUGGAGGGAGCUUGGCCUUCCUGAUGAUUUCGAGGACUCUGUAAUAUUGCAAAACCCCCAUCUUUUUAAGCUUUGUGAUGGCAAUGAACCGAAUACUCAUGUGUUGAAGCUUGUAAGUGUAGUUCCUAGUGGUAAUUUGAGGGCCGCAGUUGAGAAUUGGAGGAUUAUGGAGUGUUGUAAAGAGGAUUGUGGUUCUAGUGUUGAUCCACUCGAACUUCGGUUUAGUUUCAAGCAUGGGUUUCCUCCUGGAAUGAGGUUGGGGAAGAACUUUAAGGCCAAGGUUAAGGAGUGGCAGAGGCUACCGUAUGUGGGGCCGUAUGAGGAAAUGGGGGAGAAGAAGAAGUCUAAGUCUGGAAUCAUGGGGUUGGAGAAACGGGCAGUUGCAAUUGUUCAUGAAUUUUUGAGUUUGACGGUGGAGAAGACAGUGGAAGUGGAGAAGAUUAGUCAUUUUAGGAAAUGGUUUGAGAUUGAUUUGAAUAUAAGGGAUUUGUUUUUGGACCAUCCUGGGAUGUUUUAUUUGUCAACCAAGGGAAAGAGGCAUACGGUUUUUUUGAGAGAAGCUUAUGAAAGGGGUUGUUUGAUUGAUCCAAAUCCUGUGUAUGAUGCUAAGAGGAAGCUUCUUGAUCUUGUUGUUUUGGGACGCCAUCGUUUAUUUUCCAGUGGUUCAACACUCCAGGACAUGGAUGGUAAUGAGGAGGGUAAGUUGCAAGAGGAGGGCGGCAACGGUUGAAGUCAUGAUGAAAUCUUACAUGUGACCGGGAGUUACAAGUGUAAAUUGUGGAUGGAGUUUUCAGAUUGAGAGAUACUCAAUUGCAGGAAGAAGGUUGAAAUUUAUACUAAAAUGAAGUUAGAAAAGGCAAAUGAAGAAGGUUCAAUGGAAAUGUGUGAUUGUCCAAACACGUAUUGAUGGUUUUAUGUAUGUUUGUUGGCAAUGACAAGUUUGUGACAUUAGAUGGUAACUUAAAUCCCUUGCCAGGGGAAAACCUUAAUUUGUUUAUAGUUUCUUUCGGGCAAAAGGUGUUAAGAUGGAGGGCACACAAUUCCUUUGAAAGAAUUGGCUACCAGAUGUUUGUACUAUCUUGAAUUGAACAUUCAAACUAACCAAGCUAACUGGCUGGACCAUUUUGUUGCUUUUGACAUUUGGUGCUAGACAGCCUCAAGUCUCUGAAGUUACAAGGGUUUAAGUGGAUCAUUACCACAGGAGAAUGUGGCAAAUUCAAUCAAGAUGAGUGAACAGAAGCAUUUCCGGAGGAUGCUAAAAUUAUCUUAAAAGGGCGAAGCUUUUAGUGAAGGAUUGUUUUGCUCUUUUCAAGUCCUUGAUUUUUGGUGAUAUAUGGCUGAGUUGCUUAGUUCUUGCCCCCAAUGCAAGCAGUGCCUAUGGAAUCAUUAUCUGAGUGCUUCUGAAUGUGUUUGAGGUUAACAUUGUACAGGAAUGGGAAUGGUAGUAGAAUCAGUUAUUAUGCUGAGCUUUAGUUUCUGUAGGAAGUCAAAGUAUGGAAGAGGCAAAGCUUGGGAUGUUUUGGUAGUGUUGAAGUGAAGAUGUGGGGGUGGGGGUGUCAGGGAAGGAAUGGAGAGGUUGACACUAUGAAGAGAAUAAAGAGUUUAACAGACUGACUAAAUUAUGAAAUUAGGUAGCAAUGGGAGUCAUAAGCUACAAGGCUUUUCCAUUGGUUGUUGAAUGUAUGAAACAAGAACUACUAAUGAUGUAAAAAUGUGGUGGUGCCGUGGUGGAAACAGAAAGUAGUAGUAAGGUUCUUCACAGGCCUCUCUGUCCGGAACCAUUCUUUAUCAGAUGCUCCAGAGUUAAGCACAUUCUCAAUUGAGUACUGUAAUGAAUUGAAGUGAGGCCUUGGGAGAAAAUGGGUCUUGAUCCAGGGCAACUUGAGGAGAUUAAUGGAGGAAGUUCAUAUCCAUAAAGGCAAUGCCCUUGUGUUGUUUCUCUUGGUUCCGAUGUUGAAGGGGUGGGAAUGAUUUUUCUUGAAUUAAUGGGCCUGCCUAAGACUCUGAAAAGGUCUUCUUGGUUUCUAUGGUGAUUCUCAAGGAUGAACAAUGAAAAUGGGGGAUUUCACUUUUAACAGUCUCAUGGCUAUUAAUUCUCCAAUAUGAUGGUGUUGAAUAUAAUGUAUGUAUAGUAUACUAUCUUUCCUUGUUAAUAUAGGUCACAUGUAUGGUAGUUAGGACUCCUAGCCUUGUAUAUAUAUAUCUCUCAAUUGUAAGUAGAGAUUACAAUGAAUGAAUAAGGUUUUUCUCCUCUC